rnacentral:rRNA from 1 species
GGUAACACUUGCCGGAGGACCGAACCAGUUGACGUUGAAAAGUCUUUGGAUGACUUGUGGUAAGGGGUGAAAGGCCAACCAAAUUCGUAGAUAGCUGGUUUUCCGCGAAAACUAUUUAGGUAGUGCGUUGAAUAAAUAUGCGUUUAGAGGUAGAGCACUAAAUGGGCUAGGGGGAAGAGAUUCUUACCAAACCUAAUAAAACUCCGAAUGCUGAACGUAGUUCUUCAACAGACAGACUGUGGGUGCUAAGGUCCAUGGUCGAGAGGGAAAGAGCCCAGACCACCAGAUAAGGUCCCCAAAUUAUGAUUAAGUGUGAAAGGAUGUGGAAAUUCCUUAACAGCCGGGAGGUUGGCUUAGAAGCAGCCAUCCUUUAAAGAUAGCGUAACAGCUCACCGGUCUAAUAGAGUUUCUGCGCCGAAGAUGUAACGGGGCUAAAAUCACAUACCGAAUCUGUGGGUUUAUAAAAUUUUCGAAUUUUAUAAGCGGUAGCGGAACGUUCUGUAAGCCUGUAAAGGAGUACCCGUGAGGGACUCUGGAGGUAUCAGAAGUGCGAAUGCUGACAUAAGUAACGAUAAACGAAGUGAAAAACUUCGUCGCCGAAAAUCCAAGGGUUUCUGCGCAAGGUUAAUCCGCGCAGAGUUAGUCGGCCCCUAAGGCGAGGGCGAAAGCCGUAGUCGAUGGAAAUAAGGUUAAUAUUCCUUAACCAGAUGGUAGUGACGGAUUUUGUAAGUUGUGAGUUCUUAAUGGAUUGAACUUGCCGCGAAAAAGUCCCAGGAAAUAGCUCCAUCAUUAGACCGUACCCUAAACCGACACAGGUGGAUUAAUAGAGUAUAUUUAGGCGCUUGAGAGAAUGAUGUUGAAGGAACUCGGCAAAAUGCUUCUGUAACUUCGGAAUAAAGAAGACCUUUUUUUGGGCAACCAUUAAAAGGUGGCACAAGCCAGGGAGAAGCGACUGUUUAUCAAAAACACAGGGCUCUGCUAACACGUAAGUGGAUGUAUAGGGUCUGACGCCUGCCCGGUGCUGGAAGGUUAAUGCGAUGGGUGCAAGCUCAUUUCUGAAGCCCCAGUAAACGGCGGCCGUAACUAUAACGGUCCUAAGGUAGCGAAAUUCCUUGUCGGGUAAGUUCCGACCUGCAUGAAUGGCGUAACGAUUUCUCCGCUGUCUCCAACAUCAACUCAGUGAAAUUGAAUUCUCC